rnacentral:rRNA from 1 species
GACGAACGCGGCGGCGUGCUUAACACAUGCAAGUCGAACGAAGAGCGACGGAAGCUUGCUUCUAUCAAUCUUAGUGGCGAACGGGUGAGUAACGCGUAAUCAACCUGCCCUUCAGAGGGGGACAACAGUUGGAAACGACUGCUAAUACCGCAUACGAUCUAAUCUCGGCAUCGAGGAUAGAUGAAAGGUGGCCUCUACAUGUAAGCUAUCACUGAAGGAGGGGAUUGCGUCUGAUUAGCUAGUUGGAGGGGUAACGGCCCACCAAGGCGAUGAUCAGUAGCCGGUCUGAGAGGAUGAACGGCCACAUUGGGACUGAGACACGGCCCAGACUCCUACGGGAGGCAGCAGUGGGGAAUCUUCCGCAAUGGACGAAAGUCUGACGGAGCAACGCCGCGUGAGUGAUGACGGCCUUCGGGUUGUAAAGCUCUGUUAAUCGGGACGAAAGGCCUUC